GGACGGUCGAGAAUAGGGCGGAUAUAUUGUUUUAAUGAUACAAUACCUGCUAACGCUAAAUAUCAUGAUGUGUUGUGUUGAGUUUGAGAUAAAAUAGAUCCAGCGGUGCCGGAUCACGCCGGUCCGCACCUCCGAUAUCACUGCGCCGCCGACUCACGUCAUUUUCGCCAGCGUGUCCGGAGGGAAAGGAGUCCCCGGCACGAGCUCCGCUGUUUUGUUAAAUGCACACUUUUUAAACCUGCCUGAAGAAGGUCUAGUUGAGACCGAAACGUUGCGGUGUUGUUUUGUGCCUGUUCCCAUGUUCCUGCUGGAGAAAAUAAACGGUAAAGAAAACCUUUUCGCCGAUUUUUUCCUAAGCUAAGUGCUUUUGUGGCUAAGUUAGCCCAAAGCUAAUGAGGCUAAUCGAGCCCAACAUGCGGUGAAAUGCUAACAAAGAUGGCGGAGCAACGAGUGAGCAGAUUAUGGACGUGAGCGAGCCGGGUGCCAUGGGUGACUGCGAGGCUGUGACCUAGUCAGGUCCCCUUCUCCUAAACACAACCACACAGUUUUCUAUUGUUGGAGGGAGGCUGUGACCUAACCUGGUCCCCUUUUUCCUAAACACAACAUUAGUAAAUGUAUUAUUUGCAAGCCUAAUCUGGCCCUUUAAUGCAUGGAUAUAAUAAAACAACACAUUUUACAGCGGAUUUAUGACAUCUCACUCCUUCACAAACCUUAAUAGUUAAGUUAUAAUUUACUGACAUGCAUAGAAUGCCUACCUGGUGUCAUGCUAUUAUAAUUCCAUCACUUGUGUGUACAGGAUUACAAUCUGUUAAACAAUGCUGACUCUUAGAAAUGUAUGCACUAUUCUUUAAGGACGACGCUCUAUUGAAGCACAAUUACGGAUCCACAGAAAGAAGCACGAUUGAGAGUACGGCCAAUAUAUUGUUUUAUGAUGUUUUGCACUGUGAACACAAUAAGAUGAUGUGAUAUUUCAGUUUAAUAUUACUGACAGGCAUUGAAUACUAACUUUGUGUCAUGCUUUGAAGGAUUCCACCACUCAUGUGUACAGGAUUGUGAUCGUUUUUAUUUAAACAAUGCUUAUUCUUGACAAUGUAUACAUAAAU
ensembl:lncRNA